rnacentral:rRNA from 1 species
GUUGAGAGCGUAUUGCAGCAGAGUGAAGGGUGCGUUUUGUUCAGCUUGCGCUUGCGUAGGUGUACUCGGAACGUUAUCCGCCAGUCGUGAGCUUUCGGUGGCUGAUCCAUAGUCGCUGGAGGUGGAGGGCUCCCCUUUACGGGUAGAGGACGAAUCUGGAUAAUGCUGUGAUUCGACCCGUCUUGAAACACGGACCAAGAAGUCUAGCGUACAUGCGAGUCAAAGGGUGUAAAAACCUGUGGGCGCAGUGAAAGCGAUUUUAAAACGUUGCAGUUUGAGGCGGCAUACGAUCGUUGAUUGUAGGUCUGACCCCGAGCAUGUAUGAUAGGACCCGAAAGAUGGUGAACUAUGCUUGAGUAGGGUGAAGCCAGGAGAAAUCCUGGUGGAAGCUCGUAGCGGUGCUGACGUGCAAAUCGCUCGUCUAACUUG